GACGGAGGGUGCAAGCGUUGCUCGGAAUUAUUGGGCGUAAAGGGUGCGUAGGCGGUCUUUUAAGUCUGACGUGAAAGCCCAGGGCUCAGCCUUGGAAGUGCGCCAGAGACUGGAAGACUAGAGUGCCGGAGGGGAGAGUGGAAUUCCUGGUGUAGCGGUGAAAUGCGUAGACAUCAGGAGGAAUACCGGUGGCGAAAGCG
rnacentral:rRNA from 1 species